rnacentral:rRNA from 1 species
GGUAUCCUGUCUGAAUAUGGGGGGACCAUCCUCCAAGGCUAAAUACUCCUGACUGACCGAUAGUGAACCAGUACCGUGAGGGAAAGGCGAAAAGAACCCCGGCGAGGGGAGUGAAAAAGAACCUGAAACCGUGUACGUACAAGCAGUGGGAGCACCUUCGGGUGUGACUGCGUACCUUUUGUAUAAUGGGUCAGCGACUUAUAUUCUGUAGCAAGGUUAACCGUAUAGGGGAGCCGCAGGGAAACCGAGUCUAACUGGGCGUUAAGUUGCAGGGUAUAGACCCGAAACCGGUGAUCUAGCCAUGGGCAGGUUGAAGGUUGGGUAACACUAACUGGAGGACCGAACCGACUAAUGUUGAAAAAUUAGCGGAUGACUUGUGGCUGGGGGUGAAAGGCCAAUCAAACCGGGAGAUAG